rnacentral:lncRNA from 1 species
GCUUCGGCGAGGGACAUCGACGACCUACCGAAGAACGCGGCCAACUAUCCUGUCGGUCCUUUCGGCACGAAGGUUAGCCUCAUAGAGUGGAUUGCGAAUCCGAGAUCUACAUUUUAUCUCUUCGACGUGUAUUGUUACCAUGAGAUGUGAUAGUUUGUGUCUAUAGACUGAUCUGUUUACACUUGGAGUGCAUUAUUGGUCUCAUGCUGCUUUUGAUAGUUGUAUUUUACUUAUUAUUUAAUCAUUGUUCGUUUGAUGCGCUACAGUAAUGUCUCGCGUUUGAUGUUUAUAUAUGGAUCUUCGCUCUGAUGAGUUCCUUUCCAUUUUGUGAAGACAUUCAAGUCAGAAGACUGCGGUUAUAGGCACUUCUAAAUAUUUGAAUGGGAGAGUUUUUUGGUUUUUCUGAGAAUGUUAGAUUAGUUAAUCGCUAUAUGUUCAAAUGGUGCGGAUGUUUUGUCUUUUCUGUUUCUGAAUGAGCGCUUGCUGUGAACUCAUGCUGUCACUUUGCAUUCAAUUUUGUCGAUCCAGUGAAACAAAGUGAUAAAUACAAUUGACUGUUGUUUUUCCCUAUUUGGUAAGUGCUUAUCACAAAAUGAAAUCAUUGGCUCAACAGGACCAGUAAAGCUACAUUGACCAAUAAUUUUGAUCAGAACAGUAUAGAAUUUUUGGUCAAUUAUGCAUUGUGAAAGUGCGAUUUGGAGGCUUUACGUGCAUUCUUAUGAUAUUGGUCAGUAAACAGAAAAUGCAACUUAGUGCUGGGAGUUUAUAAAGUUGUAGAGGCAUGUCGCUUGGUGGCUGAUUGUUCAUUUGCGAGUCCAAGUUUGACAACCAACGAAAGCUGUUUACCAUUGAUUAUCGAGUUAAGGUAGGAGCCUGGAUUUCCUGGAGAAAAUGGUUCCUCAAUUACUACAGACAUCAGCA